rnacentral:rRNA from 1 species
AGCGAACGCUAGCGGCAGGCUUAACACAUGCAAGUCGAGCGCCAGGUUUCGGCCUGGAGCGGCGAACGGGUGAGUAACACGUAGGUCACGUACCCUAUGGUGGGGAAUACCCCAGGGAAACUCGGAUCAAUGCCCCAUAUGUCCGCAAGGAUGAAAGCGCUUCGGCGCGCCAGAGGAUCGGCCUGCGGCCCAUUAUUUAAUCCUAGUUGGUGAGGUAACGGCUCACCAAGGGUACGAUGGGUAGCUGGUCUGAGAGGACGAUCAGCCACACUGGAACUGAGACACGGUCCAGACUCCUACGGGAGGCAGCAGUGGGGAAUAUUGGACAAUGGGCGAAAGCCUGAUCCAGCCAUGCCGCGUGAGUGAUGAAGGCCUUCGGGUUGUAAAGCUCUGUCGUGGGGGAAGAAGUUCUGACGGUACCCCACAAGAAAGCACCGGCUAACUUCGUGCCAGCCGCCGCAGUAACAC